UAAUCUCACCCCGGAAAUUUCGUUUUCGGAGUGGACUUGGACGUUGCCGUGUCUCGGCUCGUCUCGAACGUCUCAGUGUACCCCGCCCGCCGGCGUCGACAGUGUGAUAGGUAUCUUCACUGUGUAAGUCUCUUCGGAGGCGCGCUCUUGGACGUGGGCUUUACGCUUACAACCGUCUUCGGACAACCUUUGACA
rnacentral:misc_RNA from 1 species